rnacentral:rRNA from 1 species
AUGAACACUCCAGUUAUUUGUCCUGUGUGCCGUACUGAUCCAGAAGAUCUUCGGCAUAUGUUAUUCUUUUGUGACAGAGCAAAAUCAGUGCGAAAGCUGCAGCGACCCAUGAGCGUUCUGCUUCAGCCAUUUUGGAACGUCUGUUGUGUGCUGAAAUCUCUGGAGGCAAUAUCCCAAAUGCUAAUGGAAUUGAGAUGA